CAGUCGCCGCGGGAAUACGAAGGGUGCAAGCGUUAAUCGGAAUUACUGGGCGUAAAGCGUGCGUAGGCGGUUUGUUAAGUCUGCUGUGAAAUCCCCGGGCUCAACCUGGGAAUGGCAGUGGAUACUGGCAAGCUAGAGUGUGUCAGAGGAUGGUGGAAUUCCCGGUGUAGCGGUGAAAUGCGUAGAGAUCGGGAGGAACAUCAGUGGCGAAGGCGGCCAUCUGGGACAACACUGACGCUGAGGCACGAAAGCGUGGGGAGCAAACAGGAUUAGAUACCCCAGUAGUCCCUGUCUCUUAUCA
rnacentral:rRNA from 1 species